AGGGCUGUAGCUCAGUUGUAGAGCAUCUGUUUUGCAUGCAGAAGACUCCAGGUUCAAUCCCAGGCAUCUCUG